AAUGGAGGUUUAAGGCACUUCUGCGUUUGCAGCGCUUGGCCGAACCGGAUGCGCUGUCCAUUGAUAUUACCAGUGUAUGGAUACAACAGUGA